rnacentral:rRNA from 1 species
UUCGGGGGGGGGGGGGAUAACGCGUGAGAAUCUGGCUUCAGGUCUGGGACAACCACUGGAAACGGUGGCUAAUACCGGAUGUGCCGUUGGGAGAAAGGUUAACUGCCUGAAGAUGAGCUCGCGUCUGAUUAGCUAGUAGGUGUGGUAAGAGCGCACCUAGGCGACGAUCAGUAGCUGGUCUGAGAGGAUGAUCAGCCACACUGGGACUGAGACACGGCCCAGACUCCUACGGGAGGCAGCAGUGGGGAAUUUUCCGCAAUGGGCGAAAGCCUGACGGAGCAAUACCGCGUGAGGGAGGAAGGCUCUUGGGUCGUAAACCUCUUUUUUCAGGGAAGAACACAAUGACGGUACCUGAGGAAUAAGCAUCGGCUAACUCCGUGCCAGCAGCCGCGGUAAUACGGAGGAUGCAAGCGUUAUCCGGAAUGAUUGGGCGUAAAGCGUCCGCAGGUGGCUGUGUGUGUCUGCUGUUAAAGAGUGAGGCUCAACCUCAUAAGAGCAGUGGAAACUACACGGCUAGAGUGCGUUCGGGGCAGAGGGAAUUCCUGGUGUAGCGGUGAAAUGCGUAGAGAUCAGGAAGAACACCGGUGGCGAAAGCGCUGUGCUAGGCCGCAACUGACACUACGAUGGAGCACCAUUCCGA